rnacentral:rRNA from 1 species
GACGAACGCUGGCGGCGUGCUUAACACAUGCAAGUCGAACGGAAAGGCCCUGCUUUUGUGGGGUGCUCGAGUGGCGAACGGGUGAGUAACACGUGAGUAACCUGCCCUUGACUUUGGGAUAACUUCAGGAAACUGGGGCUAAUACCGGAUAGGAGCUCCUGCUGCAUGGUGGGGGUUGGAAAGUUUCGGCGGUUGGGGAUGGACGCGCGGCUUAUCAGCUUGUUGGUGGGGUAGUGGCUUACCAAGGCUUUGACGGGUAGCCGGCCUGGGAGGGUGACCGGCCACAUUGGGACUGAGGUACGGCCCAGACUCCUACGGGAGGCAGCAGUGGGGAAUAUUGCACAAUGGGCGGAAGCCUGAUGCAGCAACGCCGCGUGCGGGAUGACGGCCUUCGGGUAGUAAACCGCUUUCGCCUGUGACGAAGCGUGAGUGACGGUAAUGAGUAAAGAAGCACCGGCUAACUACGU